rnacentral:rRNA from 1 species
UACGAAGGAUCCAAGCGUUGUCCGGAUUUACUGGGUUUAAAGGGAGCGUAGGUGGACUAUUAAGUCAGUGGUGAAAGCUUGCAGCUUAACUGUAAAAUUGCCAUUGAAACUGAUAGUCUCGAAUAUGGUUGAGGUGGUUGGAAUGUAUCAUGUAGCGGUGAAAUGCUUAGAUAUGAUACAGAACACCGAUUGCGAAGGCAGAUCACUAAACCAUUAUUGACACUGAGGCUCGAAAGCGUGGGGAUCAAACAGG